rnacentral:lncRNA from 1 species
CUUAGAUCCCAGGGGACCCAAAGGGGAGAUACAUUUGGGCAGGGGAAAGAUCAUCCUGACAUUCUUCAGCCUAACCAGUAAGUUGCUGCUGACUCUGCAUGCUCGUGAGACAGCCCAACCUCCAUAGUAAUUAUCAGUGCUUAUACCAAGGUUCAAGGCUGCCUUUUUGCCAGUGCCUCUGCUUAAUGAUCACUUCUCUCUAUGUUCUUCACGACCUCACAGCUCCAUCGCACUCUGCUGCACUGGCCACCUGCAUAUCAAGGUUGCACUUCAUCUGUACGUCCUGUCUCUGGCAACUGUGAUGUUCAACUUCCCUGAACUAGAAGAAGAGGGAAGAAGAAAAACCUCUUCUUUGUUGAGAAUUCAUUCCAGCACAAUUACCCGGCAGGGAGCCUGCCUUCUAGGUUCCCUCCCACGCACUGCUGGAAGCUUCCAGCAUCCUAUCUCUGCAGCUCUAACCCUGUGUCUGCUUUGAUAAGAGCUAUGGUGUAAUCAGCGCAGCCGCAGUUCUCUAGCUCUGAUUCCCCCUUGUGGCUUCUGCAUUCCUGUUGAUAAUUAAAGAAAGCUUUCUUGCCAUGAUGCAGGCUAUAUAAAAUAAGUUAAUAAGUAAUAAAGCAGCUGGCCUUAAGCCAGGAACUUGCUGCUGCUGGUAUCGGUCCCAUCCUGUGGUAUAGUUACUGAGGGGGAAGGAAGCUUGGCUCUCAGACACAGGCUUUUGGAAUGGAUAGCUGAGAGAGUCAGCUUGGCUUGAUGUGCCACUAAAAAUGUAAGAGCCAUAAAGAACAUUCUGUGAGAGAGUUUAUGGGUCCUUGGCCUUUGAAUGAGAUGGAUCGCUGACCCUCCUUCCUAUGUUCCCACCUCAUCUUCUCUCAAGUCCCAGAUUAUUUAACUCUUUUUGCCAACCGUAUCACUGCAUAGCUCACUCCUAUUUUAUUAGGUUUAAAAUAAAUGCAGCAGGGACCUGAUCUCCAAGUUUUGUGUUACUCAACCCUUGAUUUCAUAUCUUCCUUUUGAAGAUUGCACCCUGAUACAUUAAAGAUGAGUGCCUUGAG